rnacentral:lncRNA from 1 species
AGCGGUACUGAUCUAUUGAGCAAGCAAUGAAUCAUUUUCCAAUCGAAGAUCAUGACGAGACAUUUUCAACUUCUCAAAAUCAAGUUGCCUUUGAAGAAAUUCAUAGGAAAGUUUCUCAUUAUCAGCCAAGAGUGUGCCAUAACGAUCUUGAAUACUAUCAAACCUAGACUGAAGACUUUUCAAAUCUUUAGUGAGGACUUGAGUACGAUUCAUUUCAUCGUUUAACAGAUCAUCACUUCUGUCUAGAAGUUUCUGAAGCUUUUCAAUGGCACUUUGUUGCUUAGUGGCAAUGUUUUCAAGUUUAUA